rnacentral:rRNA from 1 species
UGCGAGCAAAUACUCAAAAAUAAACGUCUCAGUUCGGAUUGUAGUCUGCAACUCGACUACAUGAAGUCGGAAUUGCUAGUAAUCGCAGAUCAGCAUGCUGCGGUGAAUACGUUCCCGGGCCUUGUACACACCGCCCGUCACACCAUGAGAGUUGGGGAUACCCGAAGCCUGUGAGCUAACUUUUAGAGGCAGCAGUCGAAGGUAGAAUCAAUGAUUGGGGUGAAGUCGUAACAAGGUAAC